ACUCGUAUAGCUCAGAGGCAGAGCAUUCAACUUAUAAUUGAGGGGUCCCCGGUUCAAUCCCGGGUACGAGUA
rnacentral:tRNA from 1 species